rnacentral:rRNA from 1 species
UUGCUCCCGGAUUCAGCGGCGGACGGGUGAGUAACACCUGGGAAUCUGCCUGGUAGUGGGGGAUAACGUCCGGAAACGGGCGCUAAUACCGCGUACGUCCUACGGGAGAAAGCAGGGGAUCUUCGGACCUUGCGCUAUCAGAUGAGCCCAGGUCGGAUUAGCUAGUAGGUGAGGUAAUGGCUCACCUAGGCGACGAUCCGUAACUGGUCUGAGAGGAUGAUCAGUCACACUGGAACUGAGACACGGUCCAGACUCCUACGGGAGGCAGCAGUGGGGAAUAUUGGACAAUGGGGGCAACCCUGAUCCAGCCAUGCCGCGUGUGUGAAGAAGGUCUUCGGAUUGUAAAGCACUUUAAGUUGGGAGGAAGGGCUUUAGGUUAAUACCCUGAAGUUUUGACGUUACCAACAGAAUAAGCACCGGCUAACUCUGUGCCAGCAGCCGCGGUAAUACAGAGGGUGCAAGCGUUAAUCGGAAUUACUGGGCGUAAAGCGCGCGUAGGUGGUUCAGUAAGAUGGGUGUGAAAUCCCCGGGCUUAACCUGGGAACUGCUUUCAUAACUGCUGAGCUAGAGUACGGUAGAGGGUAGUGGAAUUUCCUGUGUAGCGGUGAAAUGCGUAGAUAUAGGAAGGAACACCAGUGGCGAAGGCGACUACCCUGGACUGAUACUGACACUGAGGUGCGAAAGCGUGGGGAGCAAACAGGAUUAGAUACCCUGGUAGUCCACGCCGUAAACGAUGUCAACUAGCCGUUGGAGUCCUUGAGACUUUAUUGG